UACAGAGGGUGCAAGCGUUGCUCGGAAUCAUUGGGCGUAAAGGGCAAGUAGGUGGUCUCAUUUGUCUCGUGUGAAAGCCUUGGGCUUAACCCAAGAAGUGCGCGAGAAACGGUGAGACUCGAGUUCUGGAGAGGGUCGUGGAAUUCCAGGUGUAGCGGUGAAAUGCGUAGAUAUCUGGAGGAACACCGGUGGCGAAGGCGGCGUUCUGGACUGUUUCUGACACUGAAUAACGAAAGCCAGGGGAGCAAACGGG
rnacentral:rRNA from 1 species